CAACCAGAAUUUCUGAAGCACCAGGGUGUGUGUGGAAUGGGAUGACGCCACCUGGCGCUAAGUCUAGCCUUGCCAUAGAGAGGCCAAGCCCAUUGACACCAGGAAACUGAGCCACAAAUGCAGGGGUCACAGCAGCUUUGAUUAUGUUGGUGGUGUUUCCACCUUUGGCCAGGCCAGAGAACACAAAGUCACUGACAGUGACAUUAGCAGGGCUCUUGCAAGGGUAGCCUGCAGGGCCAUCUGGGCCUUUCAAGUCUGCCACACAAAAGUCUUGGACAGAAGCAUGAGAAGAGGAGGAGAAGAAAAUGAGAAAGAAUAGGAAGAGAAUGUAGUACUGAGGCAUUUUCAGAAAUGGGUUGU
rnacentral:lncRNA from 1 species